UACGUAGGGGGGCAAGCGUUGUCCGGAAUCAUUGGGCGUAAAGAGCGUGUAGGCGGUCCGGUCAGUCGGUUGUGAAAGUCAAGGGCUCAACCCUUGAAUGCCGGCCGAUACUGCCGGGCUAGAGUCCGGAAGAGGUGAGUGGAAUUCCUGGUGUAGCGGUGAAAUGCGCAGAUAUCAGGAGGAACACCGGUGGCGAAGGCGGGUCUCUGGGCCGAUACUGACGCUGAGGAGCGAAAGCGUGGGGAGCAAACAGG
rnacentral:rRNA from 1 species